rnacentral:rRNA from 1 species
UACGUAGGCAGCGAGCGUUGUUCGGAAUUACUGGGCGUAAAGAGUGUGUAGGCGGUGCUCUAAGUUCGGUGUGAAAUCUCCUGCUUAACUGGGAGGGUGCGCCGAAAACUGGAGUGCUCGAGCGUGGGAGAGGAAAGCGGAAUUCCUGGUGUAGCGGUGAAAUGCGUAGAGAUCAUGAGGAAGACCAGUGGCGAAGGCGGGUCUCUGGACAGUUCCUGACACUGAGACACGAAGGCCAGGGGAGCAAACGGG